rnacentral:rRNA from 1 species
AUGUGGCAACAGCAAGACUUUAUAUUCAGCAGUUCAUUGAAUAUGCAUGCUACUCAAUCAUACACAUGUGGAUACACUGCUAGAAUUAACAAGAGUAUUAACAGAUUGUACACAACUUGCUUGUGUAUGAUGUUUAAUCCUAGUUUCAACAUUUCUUUAGCAACAUCAGCGCUUCUCAGUUUGUGGCACUUGAACCCCUUUUGGCUUAAUUUGUUUAGAUUGCAUGCGCACGCACGUACGUACUUAUUGCUUGCAUGCAUGCUGAAUUUAAUGCAUGCAUCUCUCGGCUCCUUUUCUUUUUCUGACGGGCCUGCUCAUACUAUAUACAUAUCAUACUCAACUGAAAUAUUGGUGGAUUGGAUAUAG